rnacentral:rRNA from 1 species
GACGAACGCUGGCGGCGUGCUUAACACAUGCAAGUCGAACGGAAAGGCCCUGCUUUUGUGGGGUGCUCGAGUGGCGAACGGGUGAGUAACACGUGAGUAACCUGCCCUUGACUUUGGGAUAACUUCAGGAAACUGGGGCUAAUACCGGAUAGGAGCUCCUGCUGCAUGGUGGGGGUUGGAAAGUUUCGGCGGUUGGGGAUGGACUCGCGGCUUAUCAGCUUGUUGGUGGGGUAGUGGCUUACCAAGGCUUUGACGGGUAGCCGGCCUGAGAGGGUGACCGGCCACAUUGGGACUGAGAUACGGCCCAGACUCCUACGGGAGGCAGCAGUGGGGAAUAGUGCACAAUGGGCGGAAGCCUGAUGCAGCAACGCCGCGUGCGGGAUGACGGCCUUCGGGUUGGAAACCGCUUUCGCCUGUGACGAAGCGUGAGUGACGGUAAUGGGUAAAGAAGCACAGGCUAACUA